rnacentral:rRNA from 1 species
CGGACGGGUGAGUAAUGUCUGGGAAACUGCCUGAUGGAGGGGGAUAACUACUGGAAACGGUAGCUAAUACCGCAUAACGUCGCAAGACCAAAGAGGGGGACCUUCGGGCCUCUUGCCAUCGGAUGUGCCCAGAUGGGAUUAGCUAGUAGGUGGGGUAAAGGCUCACCUAGGCGACGAUCCCUAGCUGGUCUGAGAGGAUGACCAGCCACACUGGAACUGAGACACGAUCCAGACUCCUACGGGAGGCAGCAUG